AUGAACUUAAAAAUUAAUUAAAACUUAAAUCAGUGUUUGGACAUGAAUGGUGAUACGUUUUAGUACUCAAACCUUGACGUGGUAUUCAUCUAUCAGAUAACCAAAAAUUUGAAUUCAAAAAGAAAAGAGAAAAGGAAACUAGUCCCACGUUACAACAGAACAUGUUUGUUUGAAAUAUAAUCGUUACAACCGCCUUUUAUUAAGGUGAUCGGCGGGGUGAAUUGCGUCGGUUUAUCGCCUCAGGGUGUGCAGAAUGUACUCAGCAUAAA